rnacentral:rRNA from 1 species
AGGUUUCCGUAGGUGAACCUGCGGAAGGAGUCAUUAUUGAAUUAAUGUAGAGUUUGGUUGUAGCUGGCUCCUAAUUAAACUUGGGGGCAUGUGCACACCUUUCUCUUUCAUCCCAUACACACCUGUGCACCUGUGAGACAGAUGUUUUGUGGGGGGGAAGGAACUUUAUUGGACCUUCUACUCCCCCUUGACUUCUGUCUACUUAAUUCAUAUAAACUCAAUUUAUUUUAAAACGGAUGUAAUGGAUGUAACACAUCUAAUACUAAGUUUCAACAACGGAUCUCUUGGCUCUCGCAUCGAUGAAGAACGCAGCGAAAUGCGAUAAGUAAUGUGAAUUGCAGAAUUCAGUGAAUCAUCGAAUCUUUGAACGCACCUUGCGCUCCUUGGUAUUCCUUGGAGCAUGCCUGUUUGAGUAUCAUGAAAUCUUCAAAGUCAAACCUUUUGUUAAUUCAAUUGGUUCUGCUUUGGUAUUGGAGGAUUAUUGCAGCUUCACACCUGCUCCUCUUUGUGCAUUAGCUGGAUCUCAGUGUUAUGCUUGGUUCCACUCAGCGUGAUAAGUUAUCUAUCGCUGAGGACACCCUGUUAAAAAGGGGUGGCCAAGGUAAAUGCAGAUGAACCGCUUCUAAUAGUCCAUUGACUUGGACAAUAUCUAAUUUAUGAUCUGAUCUCAAAUCAGGUAGGACUACCCGCUGAACUUAAGCAU